rnacentral:tRNA from 1 species
GGCCAGGUUAGCUCAGUCGGGAGAGCAUUCGCCAUGUAAGCGAGAUUUCCCGGGUUCGAGUCCCGAAUUGGCCG